rnacentral:rRNA from 1 species
GGGGGAAGUAAUGGCUCCCCAAGGCGAUGAUCCGGAACCGAACUGAGAGGUUGAUCGGCCCCAUUGGGACUGAGGCCCGGCCCAAACUCCUUCGGGAGGCAGCAGUAGGGAAUCUUCCCCAAUGGACGCAAGUCUGAUGGAGCAACGCCGCGUGAGUGAAGAAGGCUUUCGGGUCGUAAAACUCUGUUGUUGGAGAAGAAUGGUCGGCAGAGUAACUGUUGUCGGCGUGACGGUAUCCAACCAGAAAGCCACGGCUAACUACGUGCCAGCAGCCGCGGUAAUACGUAGGUGGCAAGCGUUAUCCGGAUUUAUUGGGCGUAAAGCGAGCGCAGGCGGUUUUUUAAGUCUGAUGUGAAAGCCCUCGGCUUAACCGAGGAAGCGCAUCGGAAACUGGGAAACUUGAGUGCAGAAGAGGACAGUGGAACUCCAUGUGUAGCGGUGAAAUGCGUAGAUAUAUGGAAGAACACCAGUGGCGAAGGCGGCUGUCUGGUCUGUAACUGACGCUGAGGCUCGAAAGCAUGGGUAGCGAACAGGAUUAGAUACCCUGGUAGUCCAUGCCGUAAACGAUGAAUGCUAGGUGUUGGAGGGUUUCCGCCCUUCAGUGCCGCAGCUAACGCAUUAAGCAUUCCGCCUGGGGAGUACGACCGCAAGGUUGAAACUCAAAGGAAUUGACGGGGGCCCGCACAAGCGGUGGAGCAUGUGGUUUAAUUCGAAGCAACGCGAAGAACCUUACCAGGUCUUGACAUCUUUUGAUCACCUGAGAGAUCAGGUUUCCCCUUCGGGGGCAAAAUGACAGGUGGUGCAUGGUUGUCGUCAGCUCGUGUCGUGAGAUGUUGGGUUAAGUCCCGCAACGAGCGCAACCCUUAUGACUAGUUGCCAGCAUUUAGUUGGGCACUCUAGUAAGACUGCCGGUGACAAACCGGAGGAAGGUGGGGAUGACGUCAAAUCAUCAUGCCCCUUAUGACCUGGGCUACACACGUGCUACAAUGGAUGGUACAACGAGUUGCGAGACCGCGAGGUCAAGCUAAUCUCUUAAAGCCAUUCUCAGUUCGGACUGUAGGCUGCAACUCGCCUACACGAAGUCGGAAUCGCUAGUAAUCGCGGAUCAGCACGCCGCGGUGAAUACGUUCCCGGGCCUUGUACACACCGCCCGUCACACCAUGAGAGUUUGUAACACCCGAAGCCGGUGGCGUAACCCUUUAGGAGCGAGCCGUCUAACCGACGAA